CAGAAAAUAGUUUAAUUAAAAUAAUAAUUUUGGAGAUUAUAGAUAAAUAGAAUAUAUUUUUUUCUGA
rnacentral:tRNA from 1 species